AGUGAACGCUGGCGGUAGGCCUAACACAUGCAAGUCGAACGGCAGCACAGUAAGAGCUUGCUCUUACGGGUGGCGAGUGGCGGACGGGUGAGGAAUACAUCGGAAUCUACUUUUUCGGGGGGGAUAACGUAGGGAAACUUACGCUAAUACCGCAUACGACCUACGGGUGAAAGCAGGGGAUCUUCGGACCUUGCGCGAUUGAAUGAGCCGAUGUCGGAUUAGCUAGUUGGCGGGGUAAAGGCCCACCAAGGCGACGAUCCGUAGCUGGUCUGAGAGGAUGAUCAGCCACACUGGAACUGAGACACGGUCCAGACUCCUACGGGAGGCAGCAGUGGGGAAUAUUGGACAAUGGGCGCAAGCCUGAUCCAGCCAUACCGCGCGGGUGAAGAAGGCCUUCGGGUUGUAAAGCCCUUUUGUUGGGAAAGAAAAGCAGCAGGUUAAUACCCCGCUGUUCUGACGGUACCCAAAGAAUAAGCACCGGCUAACUUCGUG
rnacentral:rRNA from 1 species